UUCCAUUAUAUAUCACCUUGAGUUUGGGUUUUUUUUUGGUUGUUGUUGUUUUAUUUUUUUUGCAUAGCAGAUUUAUUCAACAGGUUUAUUCUUUUACCAGGUCUCAUAGUAUUUCAGAACUUGUUAUAUGGGGUCUUAUUUAUCAAGAGACUUUAUGACUUGAUCAGUUAUGAAUUUUAAAAUGUUUUACUAAUGCCAUAAGAUGUGUUAUGAUUUAUAGGCCUUGUGUUGAUUUCAUUAGGAGUUUUCUUUGGGAACUAAGACUCACUGGAGGUAGCUGAAUGCAAGCAAAUUGCCUGGCUUGUUUGUAAUGAACAAACGUGGUACCUGUGGGAUCCCUUUGAGGGGGUCACUGGACUUAUACUUCAUUCAUCAUAAUUUCCCUGGGAAAUACACACUCCUCACAAUAUCCCCUGAGCAGACAGGUAAACUCCAUCUCACCAGAGCACCACCUGGUCCAGUCACUUGCUUAAACUCUGUUGACAAUGGUUCAGCAUUCUAGUGGAAGUAAGCCUAGCCUUGAAGUGACUCCAAAUGGGACACCUGUAUUCUUCUCUUUUGCUGGUGGGAGAAACCUGUGGUCUCUGGAGGUGAGCUUGGAAAUCAGUCAGUUCUCUCUGGUCCUGAUUUGAUAGAGGACCAUCCAUCCAUUCAUUGAGCUUUUUGAUUCUUUGACUUGGAAUGUUAUGGCUUGAAUAUGAACUAUCCUGGAAGGGCUCACAUGUUGAAUACUGGAUUCCAGCAAGUGUAACUCUUUUUGGGGGAUGAGUGAUAGUAAUUAUAGGAGAUGGGGCUAGCUGGAGGAAGGAGGUCACUGGGGAGAGUGCCUCAGGUGUUAUACCUGGUACUUGGGCCCUUGUCUCUUUGCUUCUCACUUGUCACCUGAGCAGACUUUGCCACACUGACUACCACUGUGAAGUUCUGUCUGGCCACAGGACCAUAAUCAACAGAAUUAAGACUGUGAACUGGUAUCUCUGUA
rnacentral:lncRNA from 1 species